CCUACGGGGGGCAGCAGUCGAGAAUCAUUCACAAUGGGGGAAACCCUGAUGGUGCGACGCCGCGUGGGGGAAUGAAGGUCUUCGGAUUGUAAACCCCUGUCAUGUGGGAGCAAAUUAAAAAGAUAGUACCACAUGAGGAAGAGUCGGCUAACUCUGUGCCAGCAGCUGCGGUAAUACAGAGGUCUCAAGCGUUGUUGGGAAUCACUGGGCGUAAAGCGUGCGUAGGCUGUUUCGUAAGUCGUGUGUGAAAGGUGCGGGCUCAACCGUCAGACUGCACAUGAUACUGCGAGACUUGAGUAAUGGAGGGGGAGCCGGAAUUCUCGGUGUAGCAGUGAAAUGCGUAGAUAUCGAGAGGAACACUCGUGGUGAAGGCGGGUUCCUGGACAUUAACUGACGCUGAGGCACGAAGGCCAGGGGAGCGAAAGGGAUUAGAUACCCGAGUAGUC
rnacentral:rRNA from 1 species